GAUUUCUGGCUUGUACCACUCGGCCGGCCACGGUUUCGUGUGUUAGUGCUGCGUGUUCUGGCCAUCCUUCCAAUCGCUGCAGGCUCUUCUUCAUUGAGGGGUUUGUGGUGUUGGAUCUUUUACUUUGAAAAAAUUAGAGUGUUUCAAGCAGGCUUUAUGCUAUGAAUACAUUAGCAUGGAAUAAUAAUUUAGGACUUCGGUUCUAUUUUGUUGGUUUCUAGGACUGAAGUAAUGAUUGAUAGGGAUAGUUGGGGGUGCUAGUAUUCAGCGGCCAGAGGUGAAAUUCUCGGAUUCGCUGAAGACUAACUUAUGCGAAAGCAUU
rnacentral:rRNA from 3 species